CCACCGUGUUUAGGUCAAAUUCCUUCACAGUCUGCUGAAUGUAAAGUAAUGCAAGCGGCGUAAAUCUGAGUGUGUGUGGAAGCGAGGACUUCAAGGGAAGAGACACAAAAACCUCUUUGAGCUUACGUCUGUUGGGUUUCGCCGUGGAAAUGUAUCGUUCUCCACUGGUGUGCAGCACCAGGAGGAGGAGGAGGAGGAGGAUCAUGGUUAAAGCCAUUGGAGCAGGAUGGAUAUUCAUCUGUUCUACUUGUCUGCAGCACAGCUAUGUGUUGGUGUUUUUGUGACGGAGCAGAGGUCCUGUUUUCUGAGCUUUGAUGUGAGCAUAUGAUGAGUGUCAACAUUUUUAUCAAAUUCAUCAAAAUCUACCUUCCUACCUACAUGCCUAAAGAUUACAUGAUUCAGUGAAUACUUUUUGCAUUACACUUACUUUAUAAGACACUUAAAUGCCAAAUGUUUGUAUCCAACUUUUUUUCCAUAUUAGGAAUAAGCACGGAAAGUGUGUGUGGGAGAUGAAGAAAGAGACCUGGCACCGUCCACGUCCUCAACAUUGACAUAAAGGCCAGAGGUCUCAUGGCAGACACCUGCUGUGCUCCUUUUAAUAAUCACUAGCCGAUGCCAACAAUGACACACGCAGGCGUGGGAGCGUGCCAGUGCACAUGGGUAGGUGAAUCUGGACAGGCUCCAGCAAUCCCUGGCAUCUCCUCUGCUCUGCUCUGCUCUGCUCUGCUGGCCGUGCCAGGCUGCCCGGGGGCCGCGAGGCCAUCUGACAUGACCUGACACCACUGUCAGCUGUUGCCUGUUGCCCAACCUCAGUCAUGUUCAUGCUGACCUGUUCACUGACCAGACUGGCACCAAGUGAGUCUGACUUUUGGACAUAGGUGAGGAUGCUGAGAAACGUGGUGGAGGAGCAGAAGGUGAAGCUGAGGAGGACGGAGGCCAGAUUAAGGGAGGCGGAGAAGCAGCUCACUGAAGACUGAAGGGAGAUCACACUGCAAUGGAGCUGACGACUCAGAACCAGUGAGCAACAAGUGAUGGACCUGAGGAACAGACGCAUGGACCGGAGGAGAUUUGAAGAGCUGAAGGUCAGUUGCUGUGCAACUAGAGAAGAAAAUAAGUCAUAUCAUAACCAGACGGACGGAGGUCAAUAACAAAUCAACUCUGAGGGAGGAGAGGAGUGAGAAACAGAGCCGAGUACAGACUGCAGAGAAAACAACACAUUAACAUAGAUACACAGGGCAGGUUCAGCUCCCUCUUGUGUGUAUGAACAAACUCCAGGCUUGAGUACGAUACACCCAUACAUAUCUCCGGAUGAACCAUCCAGAACUGCUGAUAGUUGGGGAUGUGUUGACUGCUCCGGAACCCAGGGAACCGCUGGCCUUCCUGGGUGAAGUGAUUACGCACAUCACUCCUCCUCCCUGGCUGCUGCUCUCCACGUCCUAUAAUCUCCUCUCUGGUCCCACAGGGAAGAAACACCCCCGCCAGUCCGAAAAUGGAGGCUCCUCCUGGGCUACUCCACUGGUACUCCCUCUACUUUAGGAGUGGGUCUGCUGUACAGGGAGGUAGCUUGUACAAACAUUGCACAUUUGACUUAUGUGCACAAUUCCUUACGCACACUCUCACACACCAACAUACUGUACACACAGAGAGAGAGGCGGGCGUAGGAUAUACAACAACAAAUCUCUUACACUUGUAAUAUAAACAUGGAAAGCCAUUGGUUUUAUUAAAGACAUAAAAACGAAGGAGUGCAGAAACUGAGAGAAUGACAAAGAAAGGAAUGUGAAAUAAUGAAAUGGACCAGACAUGCUUAGCUGUUUAGGACUAGUGUGGCAUAUAAGUGAGCCUUAGGUGUGUGUGUGUGUGUGAGAGAGAGAGAGAGGGGGAGAGAGAGCGCUAACCUUUGCAUCAUCUUACAUCACAUUUCAACCUAAUCUGUGUGUGCGCCAGUGUGUGUAUCAGUUCUCCCAUGAGACACAGAUAUUAGGCUACCGGAGGCUAACAGGAGGUAACAAAGAGGCGAGAUGCAAAACUGUGAUAAAGGUGCCCUCAACACACACACACACACACACACACACACACACACACACACACAAUCCCACAUGCACACAUAAAAUCUCAAGAGACCAUGGAUAUUCUCAAAUCCCUAAAUCCCAAAGCAGGAAGCACAACACAAGAGUGUGUAUCACUUAACUCAUUAGCACGUGUGUGUGUGUGUGAGUGUGCCUGCACAUGUGUAUGUGUGCACGUGUGCGUGUGUGUGUGUAACAUCCAGCUUGAAUGCACACAGACAGGUCCAGUUAAUAGCAAAAGACAGACACAAUAGCACCUUAAUCACAAACAGAUGUUUGCUCACCUAUUUGCUAACUGUGGGAUUUAACUAUUAGAUUUUCACGCUAAACACUGAACACAGGUCCAUUCAGAAACUAUUAUUCUAUAAUAAUAUCUAUCUAUCUAUCUAUCUAUCUAU